UGGGGGAAACCCUGAUCCAGCCAUGCCGCGUGAGUGAUGAAGGCCUUCGGGUUGUAAAACUCUUUCGACGGGGACGAUAAUGACGGUACCCGUAGAAGAAGCUCCGGCUAACUUCGUGCCAGCAGCCGCGGUAAUACGAAGGGGGCUAGCGUUGUUCGGAAUUACUGGGCGUAAAGCGCGCGCAGGCGGCCUUUCAAGUCAGGGGUGAAAGCCCGGAGCUCAACUCCGGAAUUGCCUUUGAAACUGUCAGGCUUGAGUACGGGAGAGGUGAGUGGAAUUCCCAGUGUAGAGGUGAAAUUCGUAGAUAUUGGGAAGAACACCGGUGGCGAAGGCGGCUCACUGGCCCGUUUCUGACGCUCAGGCGCGACAGCGUGGGGAUCAAACAGGAUUAGAUACCCUGGUAGUCCACGCCGUAAACUAUGAACGCUAGCCGUUGGCAGGCUUGCCUGUCAGUGGCGCAGCUAACGCAUUAAGCGUUCCGCCUGGGGAGUAC
rnacentral:rRNA from 1 species